AUUAGCCAUGCAUGUCUAAGUACACACGAAUUAAAAGUGAAACCGCAAAAGGCUCAUUAUAUCAGUUAUGGUUCCUUAGAUCGUUAACAGUUACUUGGAUAACUGUGGUAAUUCUAGAGCUAAUACAUGCAUUAUAAACACGGACCUUUGGGACGUGUGCUUUUAUUAGGCUAAAACCAAGCGAUCGAAAGGUCGUUAUUAUGGUUGAACUCUAGAUAACUUGCAGAUCGCAUGGUCUUGUACCGGCGACAGAUCUUUCAAAUGUCUGCCCUAUCAACUUUUGAUGGUAGUAUUUAGGACUACCAUGGUUGCAACGGGUAACGGGGAAUCAGGGUUCGAUUCCGGAGAGGGAGCCUGAGAAACGGCUACCACAUCUAAGGAAGGCAGCAGGCGCGUAAAUUACCCACUCCCAGCUCGGGGAGGUAGUGACGAAAAAUAACAAUACAGGACUCAUAUUAGAGGCCCUGUAAUUGGAAUGAGUACACUUUAAAUCCUUUAACAAGGACCUAUUGGAGGGCAAGUCUGGUGCCAGCAGCCGCGGUAACUCCAGCUCCAAUAGCGUAUAUUAAAGUUGUUGCGGUUAAAACGUUCGUAGUUGAACUUGUGCUUCAUACGGGUGGCACAACUAUAAUUGUAGUUUGUGCUGUACCUUAUGUAUGUAAGCGUAUUACCGGUGGAGUUCUUAUAUGUGUUAGGUACUUGUAUUUUUCACAUAUUCCUCCUAUUUAAACCUGCUUCAGUGCUCUUCAUCGAGUGUUGUUGUGGGCCGGUACAAUUACUUUGAACAAAUUAGAGUGCUUAAAGCAGGCUCCAAAUGCCUGAAUAUUUUGUGCAUGGAAUAAUGAAAUAAGACCUCUGUUCUACUUUCAUUGGUUUUUAGAACAAGAGGUAAUGAUUAAUAGAAGCAGUUUGGGGGCAUUAGUAUUACGACGCGAGAGGUGAAAUUCUUGG
rnacentral:rRNA from 1 species